GACGAACGCUGGCGGCGUGCUUAACACAUGCAAGUCGAACGCUGAAGCUUGGUGCUUGCACUGGGUGGAUGAGUGGCGAACGGGUGAGUAAUACGUGAGUAACCUGCCCUUGACUCUGGGAUAAGCCUGGGAAACUGGGUCUAAUACUGGAUACGACAUGCCACUGCAUGGUGGUGUGUGGAAAGGGUUUUACUGGUUUUGGAUGGGCUCACGGCCUAUCAGCUUGUUGGUGGGGUAAUGGCCUACCAAGGCGACGACGGGUAGCCGGCCUGAGAGGGUGACCGGGCACACUGGGACUGGGACACGGCCCAGACUCCUACGGGAGGCAGCAGUGGGGAAUAUUGCACAAUGGGCGGAAGCCUGAUGCAGCGACGCCGCGUGAGGGAUGACGGCCUUCGGGUUGUAAACCUCUUUCAGCACGGAAGAAGCGAGAGUGACGGUACGUGCAGAAGAAGCGCCGGCUAACUACGUG
rnacentral:rRNA from 1 species